rnacentral:rRNA from 1 species
AACCUUUACACUGCACGCCAGUGCGAUAAGGGGACUCCGAGUGCGAGGGCAUAGAGCCCUCGCUUUUCUGUACCGUAAGGUGGUACAGGAAUAAGGGCUGGGCAAGACCGGUGCCAGCCGCCGCGGUAAUACCGGCAGCCCAAGUGAUGGCCGAUAUUAUUGGGCCUAAAGCGUCCGUAGCCGGCCGGACAAGUCUGUUGGGAAAUCCGCACGCUCAACGUGCGGGCGUCCAGCGGAAACUGUCCGGCUUGGGACCGGAAGACCCGAGGGGUACGUCCGGGGUAGGAGUGAAAUCCUGUAAUCCCGGACGGACCACCUGUGGCGAAAGCGCCUCGGGAAGACGGAUCCGACGGUGAGGGACGAAAGCCAGGGUCUCGAACCGGAUUAGAUACCCGGGUAGUCCUGGCCGUAAACGAUGCCCGCUAGGUGUGACGCAGGCUACGAGCCUGCGCUGUGCCGUAGGGAAGCCGUGAAGCGGGCCGCCUGGGAAGUACGUCCGCAAGGAUGAAACUUAAAGGAAUUGGCGGGGGAGCAC